AGCGAACGCUGGCGGCAGGCUUAACACAUGCAAGUCGAGCGGGCGUAGCAAUACGUCAGCGGCAGACGGGUGAGUAACGCGUGGGAACGUACCUUUUGGUUCGGAACAACACAGGGAAACUUGUGCUAAUACCGGAUAAGCCCUUACGGGGAAAGAUUUAUCGCCGAAGAUCGGCCCGCGUCUGAUUAGCUAGUUGGUGAGGUAACGGCUCACCAAGGCGACGAUCAGUAGCUGGUCUGAGAGGAUGAUCAGCCACAUUGGGAC
rnacentral:rRNA from 1 species